rnacentral:tRNA from 1 species
GGGAUUGUGGCUCAGUGGUAGAGUGCUUACCUUGCAUGUAUGAGCACUGGGUUCGAUCCUCAGCACCACCU